UUUUAAUAAAAAUUAAUUAAUAAAAAAUUAAAUGAUAUCAUUAAAUUUAAAAAAUUUGGCGGUAUUUUAAAUAGUUAGAGGAACUUGUUAAUUAAAUGAUAAUCCACGAAUGGAGUGUCCUAUUAAAAUUUUAUGUAUUGUUGUAUAAAAAUUAUUUUAUAAGAAUUAUAAUUUAAAUAUUUAAUAUAGUAUGAAUUCAAAUCAAAAUGUAGAAUUAAUAGGUGUAAAUGAGUUACAGUUUAAUAUAAUAUGAUAGUUAUUUUUUUAAUUAAAAUAAUAAAUUAGGAUUUAAAAGUAAAUUUAAAAAAAUUUUUAAAUUGAAAUAUUAAUUAAAAUAUG
rnacentral:rRNA from 1 species